UACAGAGGUCUCAAGCGUUGUUCGGAUUCAUUGGGCGUAAAGGGUGCGUAGGCGGCGCGGUAAGUCGGGUGUGAAAUCUCGGAGCUUAACUCCGAAACUGCAUUCGAUACUGCCGUGCUUGAGGACUGGAGAGGAGACUGGAAUUCCUGGUGUAGCGGUGAAAUGCGCAGAUAUCAGGAGGAACACCGGUGGCGAAGGCGGGUCUCUGGGCAGUAACUGACGCUGAGGAGCGAAAGCGUGGGGAGCGAACAGG
rnacentral:rRNA from 1 species